rnacentral:rRNA from 1 species
GAUGAACGCUGGCGGCGUGCCUAAUACAUGCAAGUCGAGCGAAUGGAUUAAGAGCUUGCUCUUAUGAAGUUAGCGGCGGACGGGUGAGUAACACGUGGGUAACCUGCCCAUAAGACCGGGAUAACUCCGGGAAACCGGGGCUAAUGCCGGAUAACAUUUUGAACCGCAUGGUUCGAAAUUGAAAGGCGGCUUCGGCGGUCACUUAUGGAUGGACCCGCGUCGCAUUAGCUAGUUGGUGAGGUAACGGCUCACCAAGGCAACGAUGCGUAGCCGACCUGAGAGGGUGAUCGGCCACACUGGGACUGAGACACGGCCCAGACUCCUACGGGAGGCAGCAGUAGGGAAUCUUCCGCAAUGGACGAAAGUCUGACGGAGCAACGCCGCGUGAGUGAUGAAGGCUUUCGGGUCGUAAAACUCUGUUGUUAGGGAAGAACAAGUGCUAGUUGAAUAAGCUGACACCUUGACGGUACCUAACCAGAAAGCCACGGCUAACUACGUGCCAGCCGCCGCCGUAA